rnacentral:rRNA from 1 species
UACAGAGGGUGCAAGCGUUAAUCGGAAUUACUGGGCGUAAAGCGUGCGCAGGCGGUUUGUUAAGUCUGUUGUGAAAUCCCCGAGCUCAACUUGGGAAUUGCAAUGGAUACUGGCAGGCUGGAGUAUGGUAGAGGAAGGUGGAAUUCCCGGUGUAGCAGUGAAAUGCGUAGAGAUCGGGAGGAACACCAGUGGCGAAGGCGGCCUUCUGGACCAAUACUGACGCUCAUGCACGAAAGCGUGGGGAGCAAACAGG